rnacentral:tRNA from 6 species
GGUCCCAUCGUCUAGCGGUUAGGACGCCGGCCUCUCACGUCGGUAACGCGGGUUCAAUUCCCGCUGGGAUCGCCA